rnacentral:lncRNA from 1 species
GCCGAGAUGAGUCUGCUGACUACAUGGAGGAGGUUCCAUCUCCUCUUCAGUGCUCGCUAAGGGUGAAGAUGCGAAAAUCUGAUCCAACAAUAUUGAUGAACGUGAUCGGCUCCCAGAUCGUAUCUCUAGGCCAUCAGUACACAAUGGUUUGUUGGGAUCCUAAAGGAUUGAGAACAACUUACAAAAACGCUGCUGCUAUUCUUCCGCUAGGAGGAGGAGAGUUCGUUGUGCUCCGUAUCUUCUCGGGAACUUUGUUCGUGUUAACAAGUGCUAAAAGGAAGUGGGUGCAGCUUCGGGGCGUUCCAAGUUUUCG